CAAUUAAGUUCCGACUUCGGUUUCGACUUCUACAAGCUUUUGGAUUCCAAACUAAGUGAAGUUUGUCGGACUCCAAACUGAUUGAAGUCCUCAUAGUUCCUUCCCUCGCCUAUAAAUAAAAGGGAAGGCCUUUGUCCAAGGGGAGGCCGAGUGCGGAGAGGCAGGCCAAUAGAGAUUUCAGAUCUACUGGCGGAGUUUUUCUUCCUA
rnacentral:lncRNA from 1 species